GUCUUUUUUGCGCUUUCACUGAACUUAUGAUGAAAGUUUUAAAAAUAUGCUUAAUUCUAAUACACUUACCUCUAACAGUCCUUUUAUCAGUGACUUAUUCCUGCUGUUUUUACAUCCGGAAAGUUGUUAUUUACCAUGUGAACAAAUCAAUGCCCCAGUAUUCAUUCUUUGCAGACACCGGAUUAAGCCUAACAUAUAAUUCUAUCUCCUUUGCUAGACAUCAGCUCACAAAUGGACUGAUUGAUUCAUUUUGGCCAGUUCUUAUUGGAGGAAAGCAAUUGGACCGUUCCAGGGAAAAUGUACCGGAUCCUAAACAGAGAAGGAUAAUUUCUCUCCUUCUAAGUAUGGAGGCUGCUGGGUUCGGUGCUCCACAUGAUUAGAACAGCAUAGUCUUUGCAGCUAGAAGAUGGCUGAUGCAGCCACAGGCAUCACAUUCAGGACUAAAGGAAGAGGAAAAAACUGCAGUCACAGCUACAACUUUGGUCAGAAAAAGCAAAGGUCACCUGUCCUGAUGGUACACACCUAUGAUGCAGCAAUUGGGGGCCAGAGGCAACUGCAUUAGGAGUUCAAAGCCUGCAGCACUCCAGUCCCAAGGUUACACUUCCAGAAGCAUCAGCUAGCUGCAAGGGAAGCUGGUAUUUCUCAUCCCUCUAGCAAAGGCACUGAGGAAGUCCUAACUAACGACUGGUGUUUGUCUUGAUCAGUUUCUGUCAUUUGAAGAAUAACCUCAACAAAAGAUUUUUUUUUCUUUUUAAGUUCUUUUUAAUAUCUCCCCUUUUCCUUUCUGAAAGUAUCAGUCUGAAGAUUAGCUUUAUUAGGCUAUAAAAUGUUGCCAUUGUUCUCCUGGGAGACUGCAAAUAUGCCCCCAGCAUUAUAAAAAUAGAAUGCACUGUUGUGUUAGCAAAUCCUGUGAAGCAGCCUGAAUGCUGGUGUUGGGACACCACUGCUGAAUUCCAUGUCCCUGGUCCCACUAGCCAGUGUAGGAGUAUUUAGGAGGACCCGUGGCUGACUGUAACUAGGACCAUAGGGUUUAGAUCAGGGUCUGAGUGUGGUGCUCCUGGGUCCUCAGUUGGAGGUUCUACUCCACAACCCUGACCUUAGCAAGUGUCCAUGCAUUCAGUCACAGAGAGACUGUCAUCUAACUGCAGUCUCUACCUACACCAAGGCACCAGCCCAGCACUUCAAAGAACACCUGGCUUUUGAGAUGCAGAAGACUUCAAAAGACAGAGGUGUCAGUGAGGAAAGUUAGCUACUGUUCGUCACAGACACAAUCUCUGUCAGCUAAAGUUCUCUGUGGAUUUAGGUUUUCACUUAAGGAAACUUCAGGAUGUGAUGAGGCCAGCGUGGGUUCGGUGCCAAAAAACUUUGAGCUGGGAUGGCCUAGGACCUUCACCAAUCAGAAGUUUCUCAGUUUCUUCCUCUGAGCAAAGAAAGUCUUAGCACCCACUUCACACCUUGUUUGAGAGCUUGAGAUAAGAUAAACUCAGGGACCCCGAAUCUUCCACCUUCUGAAAAUUAGCUUCCAGCUGGUACUGUAUUCUGGAGAGGCCUGACUGACCUGUUCAUUGAGCAGCUCCACAGCCUGGUGUAUAGUAGGUUUGGACCCUAAGGGGGGGGGGGGGCUGACACGCAGUAAACAGUUGAUUUUCAGUGUCACCGACUCUUCCUCUAGCAGCUACACAGUGGGCUGAGGCGAAGCAAGCUCCAUACUCAGUCCACUCUCCACCAACGGAUGAGAUUUUCAGCUAAUGAGACCCUGUGUCAAAUCAGCAAGUUGGAUUGGGGCAGCGUUUCAUUACAGCAACAAAAAUCAAAUCAGAACCCCGCUCCAUUUCUAUUCCCCAAAGUUCCCAGAACCGCAGGACCCACGAUGAGACAGAAUCUGUUCCUUAACAUUCUGGACUUUAGGUUAAAGCCGGUUAUCUACCGCCUACGUGUCUUUGAAAUUUUGCUAGCACAAGAAAUCAAUGCCGUGUGGUCACAGCACCAACUCGGGAGCCACAGAAUCACCUGGUUCCAAUCUGUUUCUGCUUGUAUCCAUGCGCAAUUAUAAUUAACUUUCUGAGCACAUGGGCCCUUAGCUUGCCCAUAACUAUGUGCUUCAAAUACGGAACCAAGGAUAUCUGUUCCCAGGGUUCUAGAGUUACAGGCUCUGUAGUUAAAGAUGUGUGUGUGGUGUUUGGUACACACUCGCCUUCUAGUAAACAUUUGAUAGGAACUGUCAGUACCUAACCCCUUGGCUUGUGUCCAUCUGCAAUAGUAUUUCCUGGGUUUUGUUUGUUAACCCAACAGAGAUAACAGAACAGAGAGCCUCUUCUGGGUUCCGCUCUAGGCAGGCCUUUCCGGCCCCUCACCCUAGAUCCCCAUCUCAACCUAAAUGGACUUAAACACUUGCCGCUGUGUCUAGUGGCACAAGGAGAUAAUCCCAGGUGAUCCUGAACUCCCUUAAGUGCCUUCCAAAGAUCCAUGGCUUCCAAAAGAAUUGCUAUUGUUCUAGCAACACCUAAAGACUUAGCCUCUAUAAACCAGUUUCAGUCAUGUGGGCCAGCCCUUCUCCAAUUUUUCCUUUUUCUUGACAUUUUUGUUUUUUUCUGUUUUUGAGGAGGGUCUCGUGUUGCCCAAGCUGGGAUUGAACUCACUGCUGUCUAUCCGUGGAAUGAAAAUUUCAGUAAGCCUGGCACGGUGAUUCACAUCUGUGAUCCUAACGCUUGAAAGGUAGAGGUAAAAGGAUGAGAUGUGCGAAGCCAACCAUAGCUACACAGUGAAGCUUGGGUGGUAGGGCAGCCCUUCCAGACAGCCAUUCUGGCAGGCUCAAGGUUGAGGUCUCCUCAGAAUCUCCGGGAUGUGAUUCCCAAGUCACCCUGGAGGUCUAACCGUCUUACAAAGCAGUGAGCGUGAGUGCAGAGUAGAGGUUACUGGCCAACUCUGAGAGGUUCUGGUUCAUUCGUCCACAUUCCUCUCACCAGAACUCAGUGAACACUGGUGUGGAUAAAGUGAGUGGAUCUGUUGUUCGGCUGACCAUAUCUCAGUUAACCCGCACCCUUUUGUCUUUACAGUUUUCUGACAGUUCAAAUGGUACCACCUCAACAUCUUCAAGCGGUUCUAGCCCCUUUCCCAUUUUGUCUGUGGUGAGCAUGGGAGACAGGAGAAACAUGUCACUGAACACAAGUUAUGUAUGAAUGUACUAGUCAACUUUCGCUGCAGAAAAAAUUAUCCCCGGAAAGUCUUGGGUGAUUUGUUUCUUUUCUUGCACAUUUUAGCUGUGGCUCUAUUCAGCUGUGCCUUCUUAUUGCCAGAUCUGGUUUGAUGGAUGUGACCAUUUUGGGGAAGAGCUCUCACAGUAGGGAAUUUAAAGACAGUGCUCACCCAGCGGUGGUGGCGCACACCUUUAAU
rnacentral:lncRNA from 1 species